AACGCGAAGAACCUUACCCCGGGUUGACAUACCUCUUGAAUUAGUAAGAAUAGUAAUUUUUCCUUCGGGGUACAGAGGACACAGGUGGUGCAUGGUUGUUGUCAGCUUGUGUUGUGAGAUUUUGGGUAAAGUCCCGCAAAGAGCGCAACCCUUGUUUUUUGUUCCCCGCAUUAAGUUGGGCACUCUAGGGAGACUGCCGUGGACAACACGGAGGAAGGUGGGGAUGACGUCAAAUCAUCAUGCCCUUUAUGUCCUGGGCUACACACGUGCUACAAUGGUCGGUACAAAGGGCAGCAAAGGUAGUGAGCGGGGAGCGAAUCCCAAAAAACCGAUCCCAGUUCGGAUUGCAGGCUGCAACUCGCCUCAUGAAGUGGAGUUGCUAGUAAUCGCGCAUCAGAAUGUGUCGGGGAAUAUGUUUUCCCGGGUCUUGUACACACCG
rnacentral:rRNA from 1 species